ACGAACGCUGGCGGCGUGCUUAACACAUGCAAGUCGAACGGAAAGGCCCUGCUUUUGUGGGGUGCUCGAGUGGCGAACGGGUGAGUAACACGUGAGUAACCUGCCCUUGACUUUGGGAUAACUUCAGGAAACUGGGGCUAAUACCGGAUAGGAGCUCCUGCUGCAUGGUGGGGGUUGGAAAGUUUCGGCGGUUGGGGAUGGACUCGCGGCUUAUCAGCUUGUUGGUGGGGUAGUGGCUUACCAAGGCUUUGACGGGUAGCCGGCCUGAGAGGGUGACCGGCCACAUUGGGACUGAGAUACGGCCCAGACUCCUACGGGAGGCAGCAGUGGGGAAUAUUGCACAAUGGGCGGAAGCCUGAUGCAGCAACGCCGCGUGCGGGAUGACGGCCUUCGGGUUGUAAACCGCGUGCGCCUGUGACGAAGCGUGAGUGACGGUAAUGGGUAAAGAAGCACCGGCUAACUACGUG
rnacentral:rRNA from 1 species